rnacentral:rRNA from 1 species
CAGUAGCCGCGGUAAUACGAAGGGGGCUAGCGUUACUCGGAAUUACUGGGCGUAAAGGGCGCGUAGGCGGCACGAUUAGUCAGGCGUGAAAUUCCUGGGCUCAACCUGGGGACUGCGCUUAAGACUGGAGUGCUUGAGGAUGGAAGAGGGUUGUGGAAUUCCCAGUGUAGAGGUGAAAUUCGUAGAUAUCGGGAAGAACACCGGUGGCGAAGGCGGCAACCUGGUCCAUUACUGACGCUGAGGCGCGAUAGCGUGGGGAGCAAACAGGAUUAGAGACCCCCGUAGUCCCUGUCUCUUAUAC